UGUCUUGAUUAGUUUAGCUAGGCUAUUGUCUUACAAGCCUUGAGGCUCAUUGCAUUACUGCCUUUACUUAUACCUAUGCAUUACCUAGUAAAUACUUAUACCUAUAGGCUACAUCGGCCAAUGAUGGUUCCUGUUUCACUCUAGUUAUGACUUUUUACCUAUUGACUCUUCAGGCAGUCCACUUGGUUGCAUUGGUCAGAAAAUUUUUCAGACUUAAGAAUUAUGGAUACUGUAUAAUCACAUACAAUGUGUUGCAAUGAGAUUCAAGCAUCAAAGUCCAGAGGUGCACAUUUUCAUCCUGUUCAAUCCCAUGGAAGCCAAUGCACGGAAAAUCACAUGACCAAUGGCUGCUGGACUGUAUGUUAGCGAAGCUGGCCUACCUGUAUCUGGACCACAGAGUGGUGACCCUGGGGAGAAUUAUGAACCAUGGUUGUGUCUAGAAUAUUACUUUGAAGCUUGAGUUGUCCUUUCCGUGGAAGAAUUUAUCAAAGAAAAAUGAUCCACCGUCUUCAUUGCCUCAAGGGUUAAACUGGGUGUAGAUUCCAGCAGAGUUGCUGAGUAUAAACCCAGUUACCUUAUCACCAUGUCCAACAAAAGCCAAACCAGCAAAGAAGAAUUUUUGGGGAUGAUGAGGUUACCCUUGAGUACUAUUUACUGUAUAACAUAUUCUUAGGCCUCCAUACAUUGGAAAGGCAGGGAGGAGCAGUUGGCAUGUAGGGCACAU